rnacentral:sRNA from 1 species
AAUGGCCAGGUCCUGGGGGCGUGGCAAAGGGCCCUUUAAAAAAUAUACAUAUCCCCCCCGCAAAUAGCAGGUGCAAGAACUGCUCAUCCAUCUCGCCUGCCGGGAAAUGCUGGAAAAUAAAACGGCUGGAGAUGAUUUCAAGCGGCUGGGAAAUUAAAAAGGAUUUUUUAAUUAAAACAAGUGCAUAAUCCUGUAACGAUAUUUUGAUGUGGCGAUGCGAGUAUUUGGCACCAGGGAUAUGGCACAGCCCACAGAUAUGUCACAUUUGUCUGGCCAACAAAUACUUCAUCAAAGUUUCGCAGGCAAACACUUGAAGUUUGGAUGCGAACGGGAGGAGGCCUUCCAUCUAUGUAGCUCCUGCGGUGAUUUUUCUAAGCUGUCAACUGCAACUGGUCCUGGAAAUGGACAUGGCCAAGUCAUCAUCAUCAGUAUCAGGAGAGAAGGGGCAGCAGCAGCAGCAGCAGCAGCAACAGCAACAGCAGCAGCAGCUAGCCAUCCAACCAGCAGAGAUACUAAUUGUCAUCCAUAAACCUCAGUGCCUUUGAGGAUAGUAAAAGCUGGGAGGCAGGAUGGCUCCUUCAAUUGGAUGGCAUUGCCGGUGGCGCAUCCUUGCGCUGCUUCCUUGAUUCCUUGGCCAUGCAAAUGAGUUGGAUUUAUGCAUCCCCUUGGUAGGAAGACAGGUAGUGCUGCGCCUCUGCCAUCUGGCACGCCCCCUUUUAGCCAGGAGACCCGGAGGUAGAUGGUCCGAGCCGAGACAGCAGCUCCUUGGCACUCCUUUGGGGCAUAUUCGAUGCACAUCGAUUGAUUUCGCAUCAACGCAAAAUGCGAAACGGAUUAUUAAACUUGCCACUGGCCAGGCCAGGCCAGGCCAGGCCAGGUGUGUGUUCAGCAUUUCCC